CGACGCCUCCUGGGAGUUGUAGUUUUUCCUGGGCUCCGUUCCCGGCCUCUUCGGGGACGCACGGUUGGAAGUUGUACCGUGACGUGAUGGUCAGAUCGGAUGAUAGAAUUUUGGAUUUUUCCACUGCACCUGGCUGCCUCCGCCCUGGCCCCAGAUUGGCUCCUCCAGAAACAGACUAGCCCGGCCCUUUGCCCUGCUGGGCCCUCCUGGGAGAGCGCUUUUCACAACAUUGGCUGGGAUGAGGGUCUGGAGGGCCCGGAACGGAGCCUGCCUUCUCCUUCUCAGUCACGCUUGGCCCAGGCUGCCCCGGACCGGGCCACAUCCUUGGCCGCCCCGCACCUGACGUGAGAAGAGGCUACGUAUCAUAGAUUCCUCCAUCAGUAGUAAGGAGCCUGAGUUUCUGUCUCAGGUCAGCUUGUGUGGCUUUGAAUGAGAGGCUCUGGUCUGCAGUUUUCACAUCUGCAUCGUCUAAAGGCAAGGGCACAGACUUUACUGCCUGGUAGACAUGGGGUAGGCCCUCCUUUAUUGGCAGUGUGACCCUGGGCAAAUUACUUGUCUUAAUCUCCAAUUCCACACCUGUGAAACCCCACCUCCAAGGUUGUGGGAACCCAAAAGAAUGUAUGUAAAGCACCUGUUGCAUUGUAGGAAUCUACUUAAUAUUACUGUAGGAGGUUGAACUAAAUGGCUCUUGAGGUCUCCUCGGUUACUCCCAUUCUCCAUGUCACCAAGAGGUCUUGUCUGGGUAGUUUCAACUCCUUACCCAGCUUCUUUCUAAGUCCACUCUAUGCAGGGCAGGGCUGGAAUAGCAAGGUCAGAUGAUGUCAUGGCAUGCCAACCUGACUCUGAAUGGCAGUUCAUGGCACCCUGAACUGAAAGUGAGGGAACAGGAAGGAAAAGGCUAGCCCAGGGAAACUGCGGAGCACUUUACUCGGACUACACCUACCUUUCCUUCCCCAGGGGGCUGCCAGGAAACAGUUGUCACACAGCUGGAGUGGGACCCCCAGAGGCACUUAGUGGUCACCAGGCAGGUGGGUAUUUGAACCACCCAGAGCAGAACAGGCAGCUUCUUCAAUAUUUCCAGGGCCAAUGGCCCCAAAAGGGCUCAUUCCAAGAUCGAAAUAAUCAUCUGAGUCUGAAAUAGCUCUGCCUAUGUCCUGUGGAAGUUUCUCCUGGUUUGUGGAGGUGCCUUUCCUUAUAGUCAUCUUUCUGCAGACAUAAGCAAACCCAGUGUUGUUCUUUUCACAGAAACCUCCCCAGCAUUAAGGCAAGAAAGGUGUCUCUGUUUUUUCCGAAGUGUGCCUGCUUGACUCCUUUGAUUUUUCUCUGGGAUUCUUCAUCCUCCAUCAAGUUGAUCGAUCCCUCUGGAUCUUGAGUGAAUUCUCAAUAAAUGUUAACUGAACUAUGUAACGGAACUGUUACCAGAAAGGGGUCCCGAUCCAGACACCAAGAGAGGGUUCUUGGAUCUCACGCAAGAAAGAAUUCAGGGGAACAACAAUAGCAGAGGCCUUUGUUGCCCUCUCCGCGAAACUGCCCAGUAACCUGGCAUUAGACGGGUCCCUGGCUGACCUGAUAAAGAAGCUCCCUGUACAAACAUCAAUUAAUGCAGGCAGCACAUCAAAGCAUUGUGGAGACAUGUCUGUGCCUCCCUCCAGACCAUCAAUUCUCAACUCAGGCUGCUCGUUAGACAUACCUGAGGAGCUUUCGAAAGAAACCAGUGCCUAGACCCCAUGCACAGAGAUUUUAAUGUAAUUGGUCCAGAUGAAGCCCCAGCAUAACUAAUCUGUAAAAGCUCCCCAAGUGAUUUGAAUGUGCAGGGUGUUUUGAGAACCCUGCCAUAGACCCAGCACCUUAAGAACCCUGUCUAUGUCCCCUUCAACUAGCACAUAAGGCUCACAGGAAAUCCUCACUGAAUGAAUAAACAAAUAAAUGGAUGGCAGAGAAUUUCUGCUCCAAUUCUGCAGCCCCUAGUGGGCAGUGUGCACUGUCCUAAGUGUGGUUCCUCCUUCCCCCCAGAUCUCCCUCCUUCACCGAGUUUGCACUCAGACUCCCUUAAUUAACCACAUCUGCAGCUCCAGCUGGGCUCCUGCUUCUCCCACAGCUGCUGUGCUGGACACCCUAGUUCCACUCUUUUCCUGGAAGCUGCCCUAGUCUUAGAAGGAAAUAACCCUCCAUCAACAGCCAGGCUCAAUUCUUGUGCCUCAGUUAAAGCCCCUGCCCAGUGUGAGAGAGGAACAGGGGGAAAGGGAGGAUUGCUCAGCUUUCUGUCCCACAUUCAGCUACAGUCCCGAAAUGGACACCAAGUAGCCAGCAGCAGAGUGUCCGGCCCUCAGAGAAAAGGUUUGCUUGUUGCUUCUCCUGCCUAAGUGUAGAAAGUUAUCUGAUUCCUUAGACAAAUGUGAGUCUGCAAAAUUCCCCUGUUGACAUCACAGGAAUAAGUCUGUGGUGAGUACAUCCUCAGAGAUGAUAUCAUCUGGCAUCCUACCAUCUGGUCUGGUCCCCAUCAUGCUUCUGAAACUGCUUGUUCAAAGGUAACCUACAGGGCCAGCCUCACAGGCAUGCGGCUGACGAGGUCCCACAAGACCUCAUGCCCUGUGCUCACAAGAGCUCUGCACUUGGUUUUACACUCUGCUGCUGUCGUCAUCUUAAAAUUCUUUUUUAUUUUU
rnacentral:lncRNA from 10 species